GGGGAUGUAGCUCAGUGGUAGAGCGCUUGCCUAGAAAGUGCAAGGCCCUGGGUUCGGUCCCCAGCUCCG
rnacentral:tRNA from 1 species